AUUUAUAGUUUAUCACUUGUGUAUAGGACCUGUUGAGAGUAACAAUGGAACACAAAUGAAACAAGUUAAUAAUCAUUCAUCAAAUAAAAAACCCCUGUUAGACAAGAAGCCUCUAAAGAGCCUGACCUCCUUAGGUUAUUCGAAAGUUCUGCUGUUCAUUAUAUGGUCAUUGGUACUGCACUUGAUGUUGAAGUGGAUGAUCUGUUACCUAAUCCACAGUCAACCACUAAAAACCUCAUACUAGUGUUCCAGAGAUGGAUAAACUCCAAUAAAGGAGUGACCUGAAGGAAGGUACUACAAGUUUGUGAAGAUUAUCCGGACAAACUUGGAAAGGUAAAAUAUGAUGUGGAAAAAUUUCUGUCAUCUCCUAGUUCUUAUGACCCUCCUGCCCCACCUUCAACUCAUCUUGAAGUUGUAAAAGCAAAAUCUGAUGUGGAAGAAUUACUGUCAUCUCAUACCGAUAGUCCCCUCUGUUCUAACAGCUGUGCACUGAUUUUCAUUGCCUUUUUGAUAUUAUUAUUAUUUGCAAUUGUAAUGUCUUUUUUAAUUUGAAGUAGUUGAGCUUAGUAAUUAGUUAUUUUUGAUUUUAUGAUCAAUACUUUAUUGGUAGUGCUAUUUUUGUAAAAACAAUUUUCUUUUAUGUCAGC